GAGUCGACACAGCAAUGUGUGGCAUACGGCUCAGUAACACGUAGUCAACAUGCCCAGGGGACGUGGAUAACCUCGGGAAACUGAGGAUAAACCGCGAUAGGUCACUACUUCUGGAAUGGGUAAUGACCCAAACCUAUAUGGCCCCUGGAUUGGACUGCGGCCGAUCAGGCUGUUGGUGAGGUAAUGGCCCACCAAACCUGUAACCGGUACGGGCUCUGAGAGGAGGAGCCCGGAGAUGGGCACUGAGACAAGGGCCCAGGCCCUAUGGGGCGCAGCAGGCGCGAAACCUCUGCAAUAGGCGAAAGCUUGACAGGGUUACUCUGAGUGAUUUCCGUUAAGGAGAUCUUUUGGCACCUCUAAAAAUGGUGCAGAAUAAGGGGUGGGCAAGUCUGGUGUCAGCCGCCGCGGUAAUACCAGCACCCCGAGUGGUCGGGACGUUUAUUGGGCCUAAAGCAUCCGUAGCCGGUUCUACAAGUCUUCCGUUAAAUCCACCUGCUCAACAGGUGGGCUGCGGAAGAUACUAUGGAGCUAGGAGGCGGGAGAGGCAAGCGGUACUCGAUGGGUAGGGGUAAAAUCCGUUGAUCCAUUGAAGACCACCAGUGGCGAAGGCGGCUUGCCAGAACGCGCUCGACGGUGAGGGAUGAAAGCUGGGGGAGCAAACCGGAUUAGAUACCCGGGUAGUCCCAGCUGUAAACGAUGCAGACUCGGUGAUGAGUUGGCUUUAUGCCAACUCAGUGCCGCAGGGAAGCCGUUAAGUUUGCCGCCUGGGGAGUACGGUCGCAAGACUGAAACUUAAAGGAAUUGGCGGGGGAGCACCACAAGGGGUGAAGCCUGCGGUUCAUUGGAGUCAACGCCGGA
rnacentral:rRNA from 1 species